rnacentral:rRNA from 1 species
UCCUACGGGAGGCAGCAGUGGGGAAUAUUGCACAAUGGGCGCAAGCCUGAUGCAGCGACGCCGCUUGAGGGAUGACGGCCUUCGGGUUGUAAACCUCUUUUCAGUAGGGAAGAAGCGAAAGUGACGGUACCUGCAGAAGAAGCACCGGCUAACUACGUGCCAGCAGCCGCGGUAAUACGUAGGGUGCGAGCGUUAUCCGGAAUUAUUGGGCGUAAAGAGCUCGUAGGCGGUUUGUCGCGUCUGUCGUGAAAGUCCGGGGCUUAACCCCGGAUCUGCGGUGGGUACGGGCAGACUAGAGUGCAGUAGGGGAGACUGGAAUUCCUGGUGUAGCGGUGGAAUGCGCAGAUAUCAGGAGGAACACCGAUGGCGAAGGCAGGUCUCUGGGCUGUAACUGACGCUGAGGAGCGAAAGCAUGGGGAGCGAACAGGAUUAGAUACCCUGGUAGUCCAUGCCGUAAACGUUGGGCACUAGGUGUGGGGACCAUUCCACGGUUUCCGUGCCGCAGCUAACGCAUUAAGUGCCCCGCCUGGGGAGUACGGCCGCAAGGCUAAAACUCAAAGGAAUUGACGGGGGCCCGCACAAGCGGCGGAGCAUGCGGAUUAAUUCGAUGCAACGCGAAGAACCUUACCAAGGCUUGACAUGUUCUCGAUCGCCGUAGAGAUACGGUUUCCCCUUUGGGGCGGGUUCACAGGUGGUGCAUGGUUGUCGUCAGCUCGUGUCGUGAGAUGUUGGGUUAAGUCCCGCAACGAGCGCAACCCUCGUUCCAUGUUGCCAGCACGUAAUGGUGGGGACUCAUGGGAGACUGCCGGGGUCAACUCGGAGGAAGGUGAGGACGACGUCAAAUCAUCAUGCCCCUUAUGUCUUGGGCUUCACGCNUGCUACAAUGGCCGGUACAAUGGGUUGCGAUACUGUGAGGUGGAGCUAAUCCCAAAAAGCCGGUCUCAGUUCGGAUUGGGGUCUGCAACUCGACCCCAUGAAGUCGGAGUCGCUAGUAAUCGCAGAUCAGCAACGCUGCGGUGAAUACGUUCCCGGGCCUUGUACACACCGCCCGUCAAGUCACGAAAGUUGGUAACACCCGAAGCCGG